UUCUCGAAUUUCUACUCACGAUUAAGAUCACAACAGCCAUUCUCGGCUGAGUGAGUAGCAGGUCUGCUUGAGGCGAGAACCAAGCUCGGUCUACUCAUACCACUGAUCUCUAGGCCACAUUUUUCUUUGCUUUAGGCGGACUUACAUCCUUGACACGCCCUUAAUUCUUUACAUAACCAAUGGCCAAUACUUCCUGUCACACCCAUCUGCUUGCUCAUUAUGUUGUAUUGUUUUACUUCUCCUGCUAUUCGUGAGUCAGUCUUAAGACACUCCCUCAGUGAUUUUCUGUUAAAUUAUUGGCUCAUAACAUGUCGCCACGACUGACGUCACGGGUCAGAGUCUUUUUCAAUGGUUGUUCACACUUUCUGACCACGCCCACUGGGCAUCUGUUUUCUGUAUCUGAGUCUGGGUAUCUGUUUUCCUUUACCCUCGUUGUUUCCCCUCUUUGGUACUUGAGAUGCUUACACUGUUAUAUAUGUCACCCUUCUUGUUAGUGUUUGUCCUGUCAGAUGUUUACACAGUUGUAUAUCUCUCAUUCCUCUCUGGGUAUCUGUUUUUCUUUAUCCUCGUUGUUUCCCCUCUUUGGUAUUUGAGAUGCUUACACUGUUAUAUAUGUCACCCUUUUUGUUAGUGUUUGUCCUGUCAGAUGUCUACACAGUUGUAUACCUGCCUUUCCUCUCUGGGUAUCUGUUUUCCUUUACCCUCGUUGUUUCCCCUCUUUUGUACUUGAGAUGUUUACACUUAUAUAUAUGUCACCCUUUUUGUUAGUGUUUGUCCUGUCAGAUGUUUACACAGUUGUAUAUCUCUCAUUCCUCUCUGGGUAUCUGUUUUUCUUUAUCCUCGUUGUUUCCCCUCUUUGGUAUUUGAGAUGCUUACACUGUUAUAUAUGUCACCCUUUUUGUUAGUGUUUGUCCUGUCAGAUGUCUACACAGUUGUAUACCUGCCUUUCCUCUCUGGGUAUCUGUUUUCCUUUACCCUCGUUGUUUCCCCUCUUUUGUACUUGAGAUGUUUACACUUAUAUAUAUGUCACCCUUUUUGUUAGUGUUUGUCCUGUCAGGUGUUUACACAGUUGUAUAUCUCACUCCUCUGUUUCCUCGUUUUCUGGGUCCUGACAACUUCCUCGCCUCCUCUUUACACCUUUUCGUCCCCCUGACCUUCACUCACCACUUUUUUUUCUGUCUGUCUGAGUGCCUCUUUGUCUGCCUCUUCCUGUCUGUCUGUCUCUGUGUCUGUCUGUCAAACGCUGGUGCUGAAGUGGUGUCUAGUUGAUGGAUGAGAAUGUCGAGUAGGUGUAAACAUCCUCACCUGAUGCCGACAUUUGAGAAUCCCGCACUGGUUAUAUUCGUCUCUUUAAUGUCUGAUUGGCCGUAAUACCAUUCAAAAGUAUGUGUUGACGUAGAUCACUAACGCUAAUUAAGUGUGUCAUUAUGCCAGAUGUAAAUACUAAGGCGAUAAAGGUGGGUGUUACGUGACAAUUUUUAAAGAAGAAAUCAAAGGAAUAUCAAUCGAGACACAUGAUGAAGAGAACCUUGCACUGAGCGAGAUCAAAGAGAGGAUGAUAUUUGUAACCGAGGUCGGGGAAAAAGAGAAUUACGUGCAUGACCGUUGUGAAUGGAGGAGCCGCCACAGCGAAGUUAACGAAGGCGAGGCGAUGUACCGAUGGCGUGAUGGCGGCAGAUAAUUUCACAGAGGUCAUGAAAACUCAGUGUGUUUAUGACUCCGUGUAAUGAAGUGAUCAUAAUUUUUUUUUAACGUAGACGAAAGGAUGAACUGAGGGCGAAUGAGAUCAGACGGAAGAAAAUUUUUGCUUAGGAGUUAAUCAUAAAAAGUUGACGUAGACGAAAGAAUAUCCUGAAAGCGAGCGAGAUUAUACAUAGAUAAGUUGGACUAUGCUUAUCUAGCUAUCAAUCUGUCUAUUUAAGGUUUGCAUCAUGUGACCGUGGCAUUUAAUCAGGUCAUGGCAGGUGAGCUAAGGUAAAAAACAUGAGUCAGGUGUAAUUUAAUCCACUGAAGUAAUUAACGUAAAGGCAUAAAUAUAGCGUUAAUAAUUAUGAACUUCACAAGAAUUUUUUUUUUUGGUGUGUGCUCCGUACGUUCGAAGGUCACGUGACAAGAUAACAUGACGGUAUAGCGAAUUACAAUCCUUCUCUUUAUUAGUGUUUGUUUCCCAGUUUGUACGCUCCGCUCCGGUUAGUACGCAUAUAAGGAAAGCAACAACAAGGAAGCAUGGAAUAAUUAGGCCGAGAUAUGAAACUUAACUAUUGAUGGUAGACUGUGGAAUAAAAGUGAAUUGUUGACGAAUCUGUGGCAUGAAACUGAACCAUGGAUAAAACUGUGGAAUAUAAUUGAACUGCACAUUGAGGAAACUGAAAUAUAAAACAACUAUUGAAAAAAAAUAUAUAGAACUGAAUCAUUAACAAAACUGAGGAAUAAUAAAACUGAAUCAUUAACUUAACUGAGAAACAAAAACGAACUACAUUGAGAAAACAAAAAUAUAAAACUAUAGAAAAAAAGAACGACUAGGCUACUGAAAAAAAAAAAAAAUCUACACACACACACACACACACACACACACACACACACACACACACACACAUAAGAAUAUCUACCAAUCUGAACGUAUAUGGCAAACUCUCUUCCCUUGUGUUGAGUGCUGAUUGGAGGGUGCGUACGAAUUAGCGAACACCCCCUUCCCCCCCCCCAUUCCCUCAACAACAGAGUGUGCAGGUGACAGUGGCGGCGGCGGCAGGGUGAGGUGAGGUGAGGUGAGGUGAGGUGAUAAAGAUUUUUCCAUCAAAACAAAAACAAUUAUUCCGAUGACGGGUAAUUUUGGGUAAUGAAUCUGCAUUGUCGCAAUUUUAGUAAUGUAUUAAAUGUUUUUGUUUUUUUUAACUCUGGGAUAUUAGCGCGGGGAUAGGCAAAAAUAUGUAGGAUGAAAGCACACACACACACACACA